UUUGUAUCCUGCAACUUUGCUAAAGUUGUUGAUUAUUUCCCCUAGCUUUUUAGUUGAUUCUAUAGGAUUUUUUAAGUAGACCAUCAUAUCACCCACAAAGAGUGACAGCUUGGUACUCUUCAUUGCCAAUUUUAAUACCUUCAAUUUCUUUUCCUUUUCUAAUUGCUACUGCUAAUGUUUCUAGUACAAUGUUGAAUAAUAGAGGUGAUAAUGGGCAUCUUUGUUUGACUCCUGAUCUUAUUGGGAAGGCUUCGGAGUUUAUCCCCAUUGCAUUGCUGAUGGUUUUAGAUAAAUACUGUUUGUUAUUUUUAGGAAAGACCCUUCUAUUCUUAUACUUUCUAGUGUUUUCAAUAGGAAUGAAUGUUUAUGUUGUCAAAGUUUUUUUCUGCAUCUAUUGAGAUAAUCAUGUGAUUUCUUUCAGUUUGGUUGUUAUGGUCUGCUGAUUAACUAGAUUAGGCUGGUGGAGAAUUAAUGAGCCCUGAGGUCAGAUAUUCCCCAGCUAGUCACAGAAGCUGAAGGUGUAGGUGAAGGUGUGGAGGCUAAAGGGAGCUGUGCUUCCCACCCGGUUAUCAAGGUAUUCUGCAGUGGUCAGCUCAGUCAGUGGGGCAGGGGAAUUGGAGCUUGAGCUUCCAUACUCUAUGAGUGCUUCUUAUCUGCCCUAUUGAUAAGAUUAAGCCUGGGCAGAGUUUAUCUGUGGAGCUAUAUGUGCUCUGAGGAGAGUUCUGGCUGCUUGAGGAGGUUACCUUUCCAAGCUUCUCCUUCAAUUGCCUCCCUGACAAAUGUGGUUAGUGCCCUGAGCCUGGAACAGCUGUGUCAGCAAAGCUAGAGCCCUUGCCCCAUGAUUCCAGCAACUACUGGAAACUCAGCAAGAUAGUUAGGGUAGGGGUCCUCAGACUUUCCUUCUUCCUUUUCCUUAAUCCACAGAAUCCAGGCUUAUUUUUUGGUGUAUCUUUUAAGUUGAAAACAGGAGGGUCCCCCAGCUCUGUACUGUAGUUAGAUUUGAUUUUCUGCCCCCUUGAAGCACUCCAUUUUUGAUUGGUGUGGAAGGGUUUUCACAGAGGUCUGGACUUUUGCUACAUCUAAGCAGUUAUCUUCCUUGAAAAUUUAAAUAGAGAAGAUUUUGUGUGAUGAUCCCAUAAAGUGUUCUGAACCUGAAGCCUACUUUGUACAGCUAGAAAGGAUGUCAGAGGUCAUCUAGUUCAACACCUAAUUUUAUAAAAGAGAAAACUGAAGCCCACUGAAGAAAAACUUUGUAAUGAAAAAGAAGGAUCAAAAAUGGCCAACAUGGAGUUAAGACCUAAGGUGGAAACUGCAGAGAUACUCAUCCCUGGAAAGCUUUGACCUGCUCCAUUUCUGACCUGGGCUGAUUUGUCUCUUCUUCUUUAUUUGUUUGUUACUUUUAAAUAGCCAGUUAACACCCUCCCUUCCUCCUGUCCCCCAUUAGAGAAGGCAUCAUUUGAUAAAAAGAUAUAUGUAUAUAUGUAUAUGCAUAAACUAUGACUUACUCAUUUCAAUUUAUCUGUUCGUUACCUCUUCUUAAACAACCAAGGCCCAUCCUCUCACUCCUCUGGCCUCAUCAUAUUGAUGCUGCACUUAGCUCAAAUACUUAAUCAGAAAAAGCCUACUGAAGCUCAUAGAUCCCAAGUUUAAGAGAGAAAGGGGCAUCAGCUUGCAUUACCAUGCCCAAACAAAUAAAUUCCUAAACUGAAGGAAAGAAUGUUGACUUGUUGAAUUUCAAGUGAUAGCAAAUUAGAGGAGGGAGGAACUUUUGGAAUGAGUGUGCUUUCUUGGCUCUUCUGAAAUAAUGUCAUGAGAUGCUAAGAAUUAGCCAAUCAAUUAACAAGCAUUUCUAAAGCUUCAUCUAGGACCUAUGCCAGAUGCUAGGGUUACAAAUACAAAGGUCCCUACCCUCAAGGAGUUUACAUUCCACUAGGAUACUACAAAAAUAGGAGAGUGUGUGAGGAAGAGAUUAUAAUAUCAGUGAGAUUGGUGAGCAAAUACAAGGAAAUGGAAACUUGAAAGAACUGUCAGUCAAGGAAAGAAGGAAGGAGAUUCUAAAGAAGAAUCUGGUCAAGGAGACAGUUAAGAAAGCCAGCAUCUGAAACUGGUCACUUCUUCUCUCUUGAACUUUGGAGAAGGAGCUAGCAGGCACCUGCUCUGGAUUCCUGGCUAGUGACUUACAUUUAAAAGACUGGAGCAUAGCUCUGAAGAUCCACAGAUCUCAAACUAUAUUAUAAAGCAGUGGUCAUCAAAACAAUUUGGUACUGGCUAAGAGACAGAAAGGAGGAUCAGUGGAAUAGACUUAGGGUAAAUGACCUCAGCAAAACAGUCUAUGAUAAACCCAAAGAUUCCAGCUUUGGGGACAAAAAUCCACUAUUUGAUAAAAACUGUUGGGAAAAUUGGAAGGAAGUAUGGGAGAGAUUAGGUUUAGAUCAACAUCUCACACCCUACACCAAGAUGAACUCAGAAUGGAUGAAUGACUUGAAUAUAAAGAAGGAAACUAUAAGUAAAUUAGGUGAACACCAAAUAGUAUACAUGUAAGACCUUUGGGAAGGGAAUAAUUUUAAAACCAAGUAAGACAGAAAGAGUCACGAAAUGUAAAAUAAAUAAUUUUGACUAUAUCAAAUUAAAACAUUUUUGUACAAAAAAAAAAUGUAACCAAAAUUAGAAAGGAAGCAACAAAUUGGGAAACAAUCUUCAUAACAAAAACCUCUGACAAAGGUUUAAUUACUCAAAUUUACAAAGAGCUAAACCAAUUGUACAAAAAAUCAAGCCAUUCUCCAAUUGAUAAAUAGGCAAGGGACAUGAAUAGGCAAUUUUCAGUCAAAGAAAUCAAAACCAUUAAUAAGCACAUGAAAAAGUGUUCUAAAUCUCUUAUAAUCAGAGAAAUGAAAAUCAAAACAACUCUGAGGUAUCACCUCACACCUAGCAGAUUGACUAACAUGACAGCAAAGGAAAGUAAUAAAUGCUGGAGGUGAUAUGGCAAAGUGGGGACAUUAAUUCUUGCUGGUGAAGUUGUGAAUUAAUCCAACCAUUCUGGAAGGCAAUUUGGAACUAUGCCCAAAGGGCGCUAAAAGACUGUUUGCCUUUUGAUCCAGUCAUUGCACUGCUGGGUUUGUACCCCAAAGAAAUAAUGAGGAAAAAGACUUGUACAAGAAUAUUCAUAGUUGCGCUCUUUGUGGUUUGCAAAAAAAUUGGAAAAUGAGGGGAUGUCCUUCAAUUAUGGAAUGGCUGAACAAAUUGUGGUAUAUGUUGGUGAUGGAAUACUAUUGUCCUUAAAGGAGUAAUAAAGCGGAAGAAUUCCAUGGGAACUGGAACAACCUCCAGGAAGUGAUGCAGAGUGAAAGGAGCAGAACCAGGAGAACAUUGUACACAGAGACUGAUACACUGUGGUACAAUCAAAUAUAAUGGACUUCUCCAUUAGUGGCAAUGCAGUGAUCCUGAACAACCUGGAGGGAUCUAUGAGAAAAAACUCUAUCCACAUUCAGAGGAAACACUGUGGGAGUGAAAACACCAAAUAAAAAAAAAACAAUUGCUUGAUUACAUGGGUCGAGGGGGAUAUGAUUGGGAAUGUAGACUCUGAAUGAACAUUCUAGUACAAAUACCAAAAAUAUGGAAAUGGAUUUUGGUCAAGGACACACGUGAUACCCAUUGGAACUUUGCAUUGACUACAGGAGGGAAGGAGUUGGGGGAGGGGAGGGAGGAAUAGAAAAUGAUUUUUGUAACCAGGGAAUAAUUUUUGAAAUUUACCAAAUUAAAAAAAAAUUAAAAAUUAAAAGAAAGGAAAAAACAAGAAUAAAUCCCUUUCAGAAAGAGCUACAGUGUAAAGGUAGUCUUUUGAAAUUUUUAAGAACUCACUACUUUGAGAAGAGCUGUUAGGACCAACUGAGACAGAGAGAGGCAGGAAGUGGGGAGGGGGGAAGGAGUGAGAAUUUUAGCUUUCCCUCUAACCUAUUUCCUGGUGUCAUCACUCCAGCCUUUCUCUGCUACCUUAAAUAUCCUAGUGAGGAGCAUUUAUUAUAAAUGAUCAGGGAAAGGAAUUUUGGUAUAGGCUGACAGAAGGAAUGUGAAUGGAGUCAAAGGACAGUAUAUUGUCAUCCUCUUUCCAGUAAUAAGAGUAGUGUGGAUUUAAUUGUUGCCUCCCAGGUAAGAGUAAGAAGAAACUAAAAAGAGAAAGUGGGUUGUACUACAAAGCAAAUAGCAAUAUUCCAAUCUAUAUUUGCCAUUGUGUCCAAAGCAAGGUCUAAAGUUGGGUAGAUGUAAUGAGUUGAGGUGAGCUUUCACUCAUCCAUUCACCUAGGACAGCUCAAUUCUAAAGUGCCCAAAAUGAGUGGUGUAACUGGGAAGGAGAAGAAAGGAUAACUUACAUAAAGAAUGAAUGUAAGGACAGACCAGGUUCCUCAGUGGAUUGAGAGUUAGACCUAGACAUGGGAUAUCCUGGGUUCAAAUUUGGCUUCAGAUACUUCCUAGAUUUGUGACCCUGGGCAAGUCACUUAAUCCCAAUUGCCUAGCCUUACCACUCUUCUGCCUUGGAACCAAUACUUAUAUAUAAAAGAAAGUAAGGGUUUUAAAAAAAUGAAUAUUGAGGUGGUUCUCACCAGCAGAUGGCUAACCGUUCACCAGCACGAUGUUGAACUCUAUUCAGAAAAAUAUGAUUUCUUAAAGAGCUUAGUCAAGUUGUCAUCAAUUUAUUCCCUAGCCAGAAAAGGCAGAGGAAUGAAACAUAGCAGCAGUGGCUCAUCUGAAUAAUAAUUUGCCUUAAGGUCUCCCUGGGGGACCAGUUCCCUAGUCUUUUAACUGCUGCUCAUGAGGGGAACAUGGACUUUUCCUUUUUUGGAAGAUCAAGUACUGUUGGUGAAGGCUGAUAAAUCAGUUAUAUUUGGAAAUGUGGUCAAGAGAUAGAGACAUUCAACUUUAACCACAAACCCCUGAUUUGUGAGCCCUAAUCCAAGUACAACUAAAUGCUGUAAGAAUAAACAGCACAGGGAGGUUGGCUUCAACCCACUGGAAAUGUAAUAUAUAAGUUCAAGUAGGGAGACUGACAUAAUCAUAGAACCACAAAGUUGUAAAAUUGGAAAGGAUCUUAGCACUUUUCUCCUUCACAGUCUUAUCCAAUUCAAGAAGUCUUUUUUUACAAUGCCUAUCAUAGAUGCAUUUCCAGCCCUUUUAAAAAUACUUUUAGUUACAAGCAGAUUAUUAAUUCAAAAGAUCAUUGACUUAAAGUUGGAAGGAUAUUAGACGGUAUCUAGUACAAUCAUCUCAUUUAAUAUAGAAAAGGAAAUUGAGGCAAAGAGAGGUUAAGUAACUUGUCCAAGGUCACAUAGGUAGUAAGUUGGCAGAUUUGGGAUUAGAACUCAGGUUCUGAGUUCAAAUAUGACUUCAAAUCCAGUAUUCAUUUUACUGUACCAUAUUGCAGUUCAUUUUUUUUUUUUGUUGGACAAAUCUAAUCAUAAAGCUGUCUUGGAACUGUGAACUUUAACUUCUGCUUCUUUGUUCUCCUUCUUUCCUCUAAAGCAGCACAAAUAAGUCUGCCCACUCUUCCUUCAAAUAUUUUUAAGCUGCUCUAGACAUAUUAUAGACUAAGUCAAUCAAAAAGUUCUUGAUUUAAAAACUACAAAUUAUAAUUACUCUCAGGAACAAACAAUUCAAGCAUCAUAUAUCAUAACAUAGCAGGUUAAACACAGUUUGCAUUUCCUUUUAGGAAUCAAAUUUCAUUGAAUUUGGCUUUUACCUCUCCAAAUGCUUUUACCAAAUCUUCAGAUUUUCAUUUCUAGAUGG